UGGACGUCUACUAACAGAUACAUCGGUCCCUUGAUAAAAAGUAAAAAAAGAAAAUCAUACAUGACAAUCAUUUCUUUCUUAUUUUCAAAAUAUACUUUUAACCGAAAUAUACUACACGGCUAGACGAUGUAUACUAAAUAAAUUAGCUAUUUAGCCAACUAAUACAUAGAUUUAUAGUUUUUGAAAUAUGAUGUUCAGCAACAUACAAUGCAUAGCUAUAUAAUACACACUUAGUAAAUUAAUCAUAUAGCAAUCCAAUAUACAUCUAUAAGCA
rnacentral:lncRNA from 1 species